ensembl:lncRNA
UUAGGUGCUGAGUGGCGGGAGGCAACAGAGUUAAUGAAAGCUCUGAAAAUCCUGCUCGGUAAAGUCCAUUGUGGGAAGACGAUUGUGAAGCAAGAGCCAUCACAGCACGUACAUGGACAGGAUGGGACAGCAGAAUCCAGCCUGGCCAGUCAAAGGAAAGCAGGAGCGGAGGGAGAGCAGGAUCCUGGUGGGCUCCAGCAGCAUGGACGCUCCAAUAGGAAAGGCCCCUUUGUCACCUACGAAGAACAAGGUCUAGGUCCUCAGCCUGGGAGGUCCAUGCUGGCCUGUCUGACUGAGCUUGAGGUGGAGAGUCUGAUGGCAACUUCCCCCCUUGCCAGGACCUUGCGUGAGAUCAGGCAGGCUUUGGAGAAGCAGCAGCAGUAUCCUAUUGCUUCUGCUGCAGAGGCAUAUUUGAGUGACAGUUCUCCAAGGUCCACCAGGAAUUCAUUGGUCACCACAGAUCUGUCCAGCUUGUCCCCUCGCCAGUUUGUGGUUUACCGCUUUGGCCGCACUGUGAUUCGCCUGCUAAGCCGGGCCUACUCCCACCCGGCUGUGGUACUCAUGUUGGCUCAGACAGUCCCAGACCAAAGCCCAGAAGGGGUCCAAGAGGCUCUCCAAAGCCCUGGAGAUUCCUACUAUGAUGCCACCAACAGGUUCCUGUAUAUAUGUUCAGCACGCCUGGAGAAUGCCGGGGAAUUUAUAGCCAUCCUGCUGAAUGCCAUGGCAUGGAUCAAAGCAGGAUCUACAGCAGCUGCCACUGCUCAUUCUUGCUUUCAGAUGGAACUCAACAAAGGCAUCACAGCUCUGGCCAAUGCCUUUUUCCAGUGUUCCUGGGGAGCAGUAGAGAAGGAUCCUGCAGAAGACAAACCAUCCACUUGCUUUGACUCCCAGACAAUAUUUGAAGAACUUCUGAGCAUCCGAAUGUCACCAGAUCCCCAAUUCCUUGAGAAAUCUCAACAUGAGAGGUUGCAACAUUACCAAUGUUUUCAGCUUCAGGCGGAGAUUCGGGAUAUGAUGGAAAGUUCAAGGAGAAAAGGAGCAAUGAAGUGGAGUGGUGAGGGGGAUAAGAAAAAUGCAGAGUCCUCUGGCAUUCAGGUUGCGAAGCUGGAGAAGAUGCUGGAUGGGCUGAACGAGGAGUUCUUCCAGCUUACAGUGCAGGCCUUGACAAGCCAGAAGGAGGAGGAACUACUGGACCAGAAGCUCAGAAUCCAGGAGGAAUCAUUUGCGACACUGGGCAGGAUUCAUGAGGAGGAAGCACAACACUUCACAGAGCAGCUGGAAUCCUGGGCCACAAAGAGAGAACAGGCCCAGUUGCUGGAAAUUAAGAAGAGCUGUGUUGCUCAGAGAAUUAAAGACACAGAAUCUGAGCUGUUUCAUCUUCUGCAAACCACAACGGCCACCAGCUCAUCUCCUGAAGGAGUCCAGCAAUCCUUUUGUACCAGCUAAAAGCAUCCAACUGAUGAUGUUCCAUCAUUGCUGGGGCGAACAGACCUGUGAACACAUAGACACCUAAUUUCCAUGGGACAUUCAUACAUGUACAGACACACAGUGACAUGCUGGUACAUAUAUGAGUCUACACAACCUUCAACACACACACAUGCAUGAUGUGGGUUAUAUGGGCACAUAUCGGCAGAUAAAUAUAUGCACAGAAACAAAGACACUAAUGGAUACAGUUUGAUACAAAUACAUAUGAACAGAUGUACAUCAUGAACAGAUGUACAUGUACAGAGAUGUUCACAUGCACACUGAUAGAUGCAUGCUGUAGAUCCUACAUAUAUACAUUCUUUACAGCUGUGAAGGCGUAGACUCAAAUGUAUUCCUACUCACUGUUAAUCAUCCACAAUUGUGCAGGGUUGAAAAUAUCAAUGUUCUUAACUUAUAUUGGUGUUCUGAAUGUACCACUCUCAAUCAAUAAGACAAAAAGGGAGUAGGAAAUUAGACUCUUCACAUACAUUGCAGGAAAUCCCUGCCCAUCAGCAAAAUAAAUUAUGUGCAUCUCAUGCA